rnacentral:lncRNA from 1 species
UUCAAGCCCCUCUAGUGUUAAUUGGAGUGACUAUUCUCACUAAUAAUAUAUCCAAAGUCUUUGGAGUGGCGACAACAAUAACAAGAGGAGUUACUUCACCAUUAAUCACGGAGGUCACACUUCUGGCUGGCAGUCGAAGGCAUUUCCUCUUUUAGUACUACGGUAAGUUUUGGUCAAGCUAGAUAAUUUGAGAAUUAAUAAGGCUACCAUCAUUACUAAGGAUUAAAAAGGGAGGAAACGAUAGGUAUGAGGAAAUUGGUCCAUUGAAUGUUAGAGUUGGUGCAGUUGUAUAUUUCUCAUUUCUUAGUUAUAUUCAGUAAAAUUUAUGAAAAAAUUACUUAUAAAAAGAACAGAGGUCAUAAAUACUAGAGCAAUGAUUCUUUAAUGAGGAAAUAUUGAAUAAUAUUCAAAUAACGAUAGUAGAGAUAAAUCAAAGAUUAUUCGGUAAACUACACUCAUUAAUAUCACUCUAAAAAUUAAUAUAAUUAUUCGAAUUAGUCAUUUUUAUUAAAAAUUCUAUUAAUUCACUAACGGAUUGUUGAUGUGGCACAUUAGUCAAUUGAAUAAAGACACGUGAUACUUUUUUUUAACUUGAGUUUCGUGAACCGUGAACGUUACAGCUCUUCAGGCAUGGGUUUUCUGUUCUUCAUGGGUACUAACUGAAGCGUUUUGUUUGUGCAGGAAAACUAGAAUUUGGAUGGGAACAUUUGAAACGACAGAAGAUAGCCAUUUGAGAUUUCCAUUUUCCCUUUUGCAGGUUUGAAAAUGCAAUAGGGAGUAAAGAUGUGUUUCAACUACAGGGAGAGAGGAGUGGCAUGCCUUUCAAGAAAGUGUUGAUGUAACUCUUCACCUAUUCAGAUACUUCUAAUUUGGCUAAUACCAAAAGAAAAUGUUGAAGUUCGUGGACAUGUGUAACCAUAUGCAAUAAGUGUUAAUUGUUGUAUGCCAAAUAUGCAUCUUUUUAGUGAUGAAUCCAUAAAUAAUCUUGGUUAGUCAUAUUUUAUUGUUAAAGGAUAAAGAUAGUUGCAUGAAAAUGUAGUGUCAUGGGUUGUAACAUGACAUAUGGUCAUUACUGUGAGGCUUUAGUUUUGUUUGUCAUUGAUAUUGAUUGCUGAUUAUCAUUAUCAUGAUCAAUGCCGAAGCGACCACAAUAACAACCAUAAAUUGACAUUCUUGAGUGUCUUAGCUUUUCUCAAAGGAUGACUGUUUCUCAGCUGUGGUUCUAGUUUUCUGAGCUACAGAGAGAAGAGAAAGAAAAAAGAAAGUAUUUUGGAAUAAUUACAGAGAGAUUGUUAAAUUUUAGUUAAAAAUGUCAAAAAGUGUCACAUGUUGUCAUUCAAUUGGCUAAUCUGUCACAUCAACAAUCCGUUAGUGGAUUAACGAAAUUUUUAGUGACACUGACCAAUUCAAACAAUUAUAUUAAUUCGAGUGACUAAAUUGACAAAAAAAAAUUAGAGUGACUAAAAUAGGAACAACACUACUUUAAAGCGAUCUUUAGUGUAGUUUACUUAAGAUUAUUUUAAUUAAACGAUGAGCUAAUAUAAUAUUAUGAUAUUUCAGUAUAACAAAAAUUGUCAUUUAUAAAAUAAACUUAUUUUGAUUUAUUUUUACGUGCUAUAGAAAAAUGAAAUCAUGACAAACAAUUGGAGUGUAUUUAAUAAUCUUAAUAUGAUAUAUUUAUCUAUUUCAAAAAAAAAAUUUACUAACAAAUUAUCUCGACAACAACUUAGAAUUGAUGACAAAACAAUAAUAAACAAUUGUAUUCAUUUAGUAUUCUUAAAACUUUCUGUAUAAUUUUUUUUCAUUUUAAUAUCAUAAAAAUCCAAUGUUUUACUAAUGAGUUCCAAACCAUUACUUUUAUUAUUUAUUGUAUGUUAUUUACACAUACCUCUGUAUUUUAAAUAUAUAAUUUCUAUAUGCGUGUGACAAAUACAUAAUUUUCAUAUACAUACACAUGUGAUAAUAUUUAUAGUAUUUAUAAUGUUAUAUUAAUAAUUUAGUGUUUAAAAUAUGUUAAAUUUUUAAUAUUUAAAAUUAAGAGCAAAAGAGAAAAAAAACAAGUUCAAACUUUAAAACUUACAACAUACAAUUGGCACCAUGUGCGACACCUGAAGUAGCACCAUGUGAUAGUCAUUCGGAUGAUACUCACCAUUUGGUUUUUUUUUUUUUUUAUAUUAUGUAUAUUCAUUUUACGAUACAUGUUUAAGAUUCGUGGUUGUCUCUUUUAAUAAUGUUGUCUUUAAAAUUCGAACUUAUAAUCUCAAUUUAAUAAUAUCGAUUAUUAAUACAGACGAUAGUGAUGAUAAUAGAUUAUUAUACUUCAAACUUAAUAAUUAACUUUCUUUUUCUCAUUUUCAUAUAAAAAAUUUAACAACUCAACUUUAAUAUAGAUUAUAGUGAUGAGGAGGAGAGGAACAAGCCAUCUGAGACUUGAUCUUUUGUGCAUCAUGCAGUAGGUUUUAGGGUUUACUCUUGGGACUUUUAGCAAUUGUUUUUUGGUUGAUCGGUGUUUAUCGUUAGAUUAAUUUGAUGAUGAUGAGACUAGAACGUAAAUUUCAGUGAUGUGAUUAAAUUGAUGUAUAUUUUAAAAAAAAUUCAAUUAUUCUGCUGAUAUGAUAUUUGUGGAAUGGUUUAUAGUGAUUUAUUUACCCAUCUCUUCCUAGGUUUUAGUUGUAUAAACUUACAAAAACAAAUCUAAUUUCUCACCACCAUCUGCAUGCAAAAAAACCUACGUGUUGAAACUUGAAACCCUACAUUACACGUACUGGCCAUGCAAAGGCCAAAAUCCAUUAUAAAUACCCUUUCAUCCGCCAUCCCCAUUUCUCACCAUCACAUACAUCAAUCAAUCCAGUUAUAUAUAUCAAUCAACCAUGGCAAAGCUUGCUCUCCUCGUAGCUACUUUCGCUCUUGCUUUCUUCCUCGUCAACGCCUCCAUCUACCGCACCAGCAUCACCCCCGGCGGCGACGAAGAAACCUGGUCCCGACACGGUCGGCAGUCGUGCCAAGACCAGAUAUGGCGGCAAGGCUACCUCCCAAACUGUCAGAGGUACAUGAACGAAGAGACCGGCAGCAGCCACCACCGAUACAGCAGUCACUACCUCAACUCCUGCUGCGACGAGCUCGAGAACCUGAGGGAGGAUUGCCGGUGCCAAGGCUUGAAACAUGCGUUAGGACAACAGCUGAAGCUGCAGGGAGUACGGUGGGAGAGUCCAGAGGCUGAAGAUAUGUGUGAAGCGGCAGAGACGGCACUGAAUAGGUGUGGUUUAGAAUCUAGGAGAUGUGAUAUGCAUAGUGGAAGAUGGCUUUAGAUAUAAAAUCUAAGACCCUAAAAUGCUAAACGCAAAAUAAGUGUAAUGCAUGCAAUGCAUGUUGUUUAGUUGUUCACCGGAUGAGGUUUUUGUAGUAUAUCUUAUAUGAAUAAAGCACAUUAUCGUGUGCAUUGCGUUUAGUAUUUUUAACUCUUAUAUCUAUCCAUAUAUAUUACACUAUAAUUAUAAUUUUGCGGCUAUAUAUGAAGAAAUGGUAAAAUUUAAAUUUUAGUUUAAACCAUUUAUAUCAGAUUAAUCUAUACCUAAUUCUCAACAAAUUUGAAUUUAUUUGAUUUUUUUCUCAUUUAGAGUUCGAGUUCGCGAUUGGAUGCAUGUUUCAGUAUUAAGCGAUAUCGCUGCCACUAACAGUAAAUAAAUGCACCGUCUAUUUAAAUUUAUCACCCACCAUUUUAGAGUAACAAUAAGUAAAUGCAUCGUAUAUCUAAACCUAUCUAAACCCACCCACCAUUUGAUCUAAACCUAUCUAAACUCACCCACCAUUUGAGAGUAACAAUAAAUAAAUGCAUCUUCCUUCCAAACUUAUCUAAACCCACUCGCCAUUCGAGACCUAUCUAAACUCUAGAUUAUUAAUUCAAAAAUCUAGAAAGAAAUAUUACCCAAUUAAAUAAUCUCAAAUUUUAUUUGAUAGUAUUUUUUAAUAAAAAUAUUUUUAAUGAAUUUUGAAUAUGUUAAAAAAUUAUUUUAAUAUUUUUAAUGUAUUUAAUGUAUUAUUUUAAAAAAACGAUUUAAACUUAAUUAGAUCCAGAUUUUUAAAAAAAAUUGGGAUGAAUUUAGAAAAAAAAAUUAAAUUUUUAAUUAAAUCGUAUUUAAACUUGAAAAUUUAAUUUAAAUUCUUUGUAUAAAUUCAACUCGAAUCUCACCUGAUACAUUUAUUAUUAUAUAUAUAUAUUUAAAAUAUUUGUCUAUUUUUAUAUAUAUUUAAAUUUAUAUAUUAUUAUUUCUUUAUCACCAAUCAUUUUUUUGUUUUCAUAUAUUUUAAAAUUUACUAUUAUAUCAUUUUUUAAAAUAUUUAUGUACUUUUAUAUAUUUACUUAAUUUUUUUUAGAAUUAGAAUUAAAUUAAGAUUAUUUAUAAAUUUUGAGGGUUAAUUUUCUAGAAUGAGUCGAUGCAAUAAGUAAAAAUUAUAGGCUAAAUUGAUUAUUAUACUGAUUUUUUAAUUGCCACGUCAGUUUGCCGUUUAUAAUUUUAGUGGGAGUGACUAAAAUGACCGUACUAUAUAACGUGAGCGCUUAAAUUACUAACUUUUAUUUUGAAUGCCUAAAAUAAUUUUUUAUAGUUGGGUGACUAUUUAUGUAGUUUAUCCUUUUCUUAAGAUAGAAUCAUAGAAACUUUUGGCUCAUCAUCAAGGUCAGUUUAUUUUGUGCACAUAUAGUAUAUGAUGAAAUUGAAAUUGACGUAUUCAUGUAUAUGUAUAAGUAAGCAUGCUAUAUAGCUUAAGAAAAACAUGAAAAACAUGUUACAUGUAUUUAUCACUACAUUUUAAUCAUUCAAAUCGAAAAUAAAAAUUUUGUAUAUUUUUAAAAGGUUUUAGAUUUAUGAGUAACUUGCUUAAAUCAAAGUUUUUAAUUUUGAUUUAGGCUUAGUUAGGAUGGGUUACCUGCGGUUAGUAUAAAAAUAACGGUGGCGGUAAGAUUAAAUACUAUAGCAAUAUUAUAGCGUGAGAGAAAAAGUAAACUAAACACACUGCACCGCACCGCACCGCACCACACCACACCACACCCAACCACCCAUCUGAACCGGCCCUUAAUUUCCUUCAUACUCGCAUUUUAGAUUAGUUGAGAAAUAUUAGCAUGGUUCAGACCAGUAGGAAAAACAACAAAAAUAUCUAUUUUUCAUCCUCCAAUUUUACAAAAAUAUCAUUUUAACCCUCAAAAUAAAUUCUUGUCACUUUUAACCUUCAAAUCACAAUGUUUGUCAAAAUGGCCCAAAAUGGUGAAAAACUUAAUAGGUCGUCAACUCAGGGGUGAAGCCAAAAAAAAAAUUUAGGGGCUAAAAUUAAAUUGUAAUUUUAUGAUAGUAAAAAUGCAAUUCACCAUUUUAAUAGUAUAUAUCUUUAUGAUUUUUAAAAGAUUAAAUCAAAUUUUUAUUAUUUUUAAAGAAACCAAAGUGUAAUUUUACCGUUACUAAUUUAAAUUUUUUAAAAUUUUAAAAAACCUAAAUGAGAAUGUUUUCAUUUUAGGGGGUCGGAGUCCUACCAACCCCUAAUUACGCCCCUACAUUAACUGUAUGAUGUGGCACGCCAGGGUGUUAAAAAGUUUAACACGUGAAAUUUCAUGUUUGAUACUUUUUGUAACGCUUUUUAAGUUUUAGGUUGGUAAUUUUUUGUAUCGGGUUAGUUCUCAAAUUUUUUUCCUUCAACUAAAUUAAUACUUUUUUGUAACGUAUUCAAGUUCAAGACAGAUGACAAAAAUAUAAUUAUGACAUGUAACAUUAAUGACAUUAUCAUGAUUUAAAAAAUAUAUUAAAAAUCAAUAAAAUCAAUUUAUUCAGAAAAAUAAAAUUUAUUUCUCCCUCCGGUAAUUAUUAUCACUUUCCCAGAAAAAUAUUUAACCCAUAACCAAAAUAUGAACUCUUCACUGUCAGCUUCCAUCACUGUAGACCCUUCUCCCUCGCCCAUUGUUUGCGUAUGGCCCCCGCUCUGCCUACUGUGAUUGAACCACCGACGGCAGCUGUCGUGCUUCCGAUUUCAGACCGCCCUUCUUACUCGGACAUGAUAAUUGAGGCUAUUAGUGCUGUGAAAGAGAAUAAUGGGUCAAGCAAAAGAGUCACUUCUAAGAUUUAGUUUAUCAUUACUUAAAAAAAAGGUACAAAAUUACUUUUGAGCAGAAGUUAAAAUUUUUGCUUCUUUAAAAAAUACUUUGCAAUAGAUUUUCUUUUCCAAAAACACUUUUCUAUAUUCUUAUAAAAAUUAUUGGGUAAAUUACAAAAAUGGUCACUUUUGUUUAUCUUAGAUUACAUUUUAGUCAUUUAUGUUUGAAAUGUUACGUUUUAGUCACUUACGUUAUUGUUUUAUUACAAAGUGGUCACUCUACCGUUAAACUCCAUUACCUCCCUAACGAUAAUCCUAUAUGUCAAUCCAAAUAGAUUUUAAAUGUCAACUUAAAAGUCCAGUUACUCGGAUGAAAAUAGGUUUUUAAUUAAAUAAAUAUAAUUUGGACUGCCACAUAGAACAUCCAAGUUGACAUUUAAAAUCUAUUUGGACCGCCAUGUAGGACCGCCGCUAGGUAAUAGAGCUUAACAGUAGAGUGACCACUCCGUAACAAAACAAUAACGUGAGUGACUAAAACAUAACAUUUUAAACAUAAAUGACUAAAAUGUAAUCUAAGACAAAUAAAAUUGACUAUUUUAUUGUUUACCCAACAUUAUUUGAUUCUCCCUCCAUCUUCCAAUCUAUCUAAUUCCUUCCCUAUGACAAAUUAAUUUUCCAUCCAAACCCUAACAAAAAUCCCAAUUUUCCUUUUUUUUUUCAUCUCAAAUGGCACCUUAUUCUCCCUCCAUCUUCCAAUCUAUCUAAUUCCCUUCCCUAUGGCAAAUUAAUUUUCCAUCCAAACCCUAACAAAAAUCCCAAUUUUCCUUUUUUUUUUCAUCUCAAAUGGCACCUUUGGACCCUCACUCCUUCAUCAACUCUUACCACCCUUUAACCACUGACAUCUCCCUUUCCCUUUACUUAAACUUCCCUUCCACCACCAUCCACGGCGCCGCUUUCUUCAUCCAAUACACUAUUCACUGCCUCCGAAUAAACCCUAGUCAUCGGUCCAACUUCCCUAAAACCCAGCUCCCCAACUGCAAACGCGAACAAAUACGGCGGGAUCGGUUGGUUCAUCUGAAAUUCCUCGACUACCCUCGUUUCGGAACACCACAACGAGUUAAACCCACCACGCAACAAUGCGAAUGUCCUUCGCCGGCAACCAGUGACCUCCUAUCGACAUGGCGGGCGGACAUAACGGCGCAUAACUCCCGAGGGACGUUGAGCAAAGCAGAGUAACGGGUUCUAGCCGCGGGAGUGUCUUGACAUGGGAAAAUGGAAUGCGCGUGGAUAGACUGGCAUUGGGUAUAAACAAAAGAUUGUUUUUUCUUAAACGUUUGCGGCGAUGAUAGCCAUUGGAAAGCAGAUGAAGAAGGGGAAGUAGAGAAAACGAUGAAGAAGGAGUUCAAAAUGUUGUCGUUUGGUAGCGAAAUGGAAAGCUGGGUGCCCGUUCGGAACUCCGAUAGCUGUAGACGGUGGCGGCUAGGGUUCAUUCGGGGAAGAAGAAAAAAUAAAUGAAAAGAAAUUGAGAAAAAGAAGGGGGAAAUGGAAAUAAUUUUUAAAAACAUUUUUAUUAAUUUUUAAUAUAUUUUUUAGAUUAUGACAUUAUUAUGAUAUCAUCAAUGUCACUGUCACAAUCAUAUUUUGCCAUCUGUUUAGAAUUUAGCGUGUUAUAAUAAAUAAUGAUUUAAUUGACAGAAAAAAAAUUGAUUAUCAAUUUGAAAUAAGAAAUUUGAGUAUGAAUUUUAUAUCUAAAUAACUCUUCAAAAACAAACAUUCGAAACUCCAAAGAUUGGGGGUUUCAAAUCCCUAAACCCCAACAUUUAAUCAUGUCACAAAAAGAAAAUAAAGAGCUAUAAAACUCAGUGUAAAUGAGGAAUUCAAAGUGGUUUAGAAUAGACUCAGCAAAAUUGGAUUUAAAUAAAAAAUUUUAAAAUUUUAAGUUAAUCGAAUUGAGGUGUUUGAGUUAUUCGAGUCAACUCAAGUAAGCGAGUUCAAGUCUAGUUGAAUUUUACAAUUCGAAUUAUUUCGAUUAACAAAUUGGUGUAAAUAUUCUUUUUAAUCCCUGUUAAUUUUGAAAGCAAAUUCAUCUCUCUCUCAACAAAAAUUACAAAAAAUUUUAAAAUAUUUAUAAAAUUUUAUAUUUUAUAUUUUUAAAAGAUUAUAAUUUUUUUAAAAGAAUCUAAAGAAUAUAUAAAAAAAAGUUAAAAUUUUUCUAAAAUAAUAAUUUUGGGACCUAAAUAAGUUAAUUAGUGAUUCAAGUUUAUCAUACUAAAGUUUUAUUUUUCUUUUUGCUUUGAAAAAGUUUUCAAAUUUAUGUGCUCUAACGUGAAAUUAGUUAUACUAUAAAUAUUUUCCCUAGUACCUAUUUUGAGUCUGAAUCCAUUUUCUUGAUGAACCAUAAAUGAAAUUUCAAGCCUAUUAUAUAUUCUAUUUGAUUCAUUAUUUCCUUGUCCUUGCACGGAUUUAGACAUUUGGCCAUUGAUAUUAAGGGAUUAGGUCGAUACAUCACGGUAGUUUUAAAAGAAAAGAAAAAAAUGAGUGAACUAAGGAAUUGUAUGGUAUAGUACGUAUAAGAUUUCUUGAGCUUGUAAAAAAUUAAGGCAAAAUGUCAAAUCGAGAAAAUCUCAUUGAAAAAAAUAUAUACGAGCUCAGAUGAUUGUACUCAUGCGUAAUAUACGAUGCCUUAGUAAAUGGAGAGAUAAGGAAAGUGAGGGAAGUGGAUAUAAGGUGGUGAGUUAUACGUAUACUUGGGAGCAUAUCGGGAAGAAUAGAAUGUGUCAAACUACUUUCAUGCUUAAUUAUUCUGUCGAGCCUGUUCCUUAAAUUCUAAACCAACCUAAGUUGCAAAACCUUACAAGUUGAAAAGUCCUAUGUGACGUAGGUAGUACAUUAUGUGAAGGACAUUGUGUCAAUGGUUGAUAUUUUUACCACUUAUAUUCAUUUGAACAUACUUGUAUAUUUAUAUAUGUUUUAUGGAAACCUAUACUUAACAUUCUUUUAUUUGUUUGCUUUGUAAGUUAUUGAACUAACUUGUCUAAUUUUAGAAAUUGUGAGUCAAUUGUAUAUCACUCUAGAGUUAUAUGUUUAUUUACAUUAUCUUGUUAAUAUAUUUUUGUGCAAUUUCCUAUAUCAAGCUGGCUCAAGUACAUUUUCUUUUCUGUGCAUGUUUAUUUCAUGUUUUUAAUUCAGUUUGUUUUCGGUUUUUAAUUUAUUUUUAUUUAGUUUGCUUGAGAACAAGCAAAGACUUAAGUGUGGGGUAUUUGACCUGUUGUCAAAUGUAGUAGUUAUUUCGGGUUAUUUCCGCAUUUAAGGAGCUUGUUUUAAACUAGCCAAUUUAGUAUUUUAUAUUAUGUUUUCGAUAUUUAGUAGUUAGGAUGAAAUGUUAGUAAAAAUAAAUGUUUUUAACACUAUUUAUGAGUGUUGUGACCUAUGAGGCAGACACGGGCCUUAGGUAGUGCUAAUGUGUGUAAUUGAAUGUGUAGGAUGAUGAAUUAUAAGUCCGAUUGACGUGGGAGCAAAGGACGAAUGAUGCAUAAGCUUCCCAAGACGUCAAAGCAUGAAACGAGCCAUACAAGGCGUGGAACACCUAUUGUAACACCCCUUACCCGAGACCGUCGCCGGAAUCGAGUAAGAGAUGUUAUCCAAUUUAACUUACCGAUUCGGAGCAUAAAAAUUUGCCUUUAAAAUUAAAUUCACUGUUCACAACAAAACUGUCUACCUGCGUGACUUUCACUAAUUUAAUUAUAACUCGAGUUACAGAACUCAAAAUUUAAAUCCGUAAAUUUUCCCUGAAACUAGACUCAUAUUACUACUUACCAUAAAAUUUUCAGAAUUUUUGACUUGGCCAAUUAGUACAGUUUAUUCAUUAAAGUAUCCCCUGUUUCACAGCUCGACAGAUCUGACCUCUCGGCACUAAAAAUCAAUUAUCUCUUUGUACAGAAUACAUAUAAGGUUAUCGUUUGUUUCUUUUGAAAAUAGACUCACUAAGAAAUCUACAAAUAUAAAUUAUGACCCAUAAUUCUUUCUGUACAAUUUAUAAUGAUUUUUCAAAGUCAGAACAGGGGACUUCAAAAACCAUUCUGACCCUAUCUCACUAAAAUUAAAAUAUCUCAAAAUACAGAAUUCCUUUGCCUACACCGUUUCUUUCAUAUAAAAAUAGACUUGAUAAGCUUUAAUUAAAUAUAUAAUUCACUCUCUAAUUCCAUUUCUACUAUUUAUGGUGAUUUUUCACAUUCACGUCACUGCUGCUGUCAAAGAAACUGCUUCUUUGAAUUAGUUACCAUUUUAACAUACAUAACACCAAAACAUAUUCUUUAAUAGCUACUUCAAUAGCUAAUAUUAGCUAUAUCAUUUGAACAUGCUCAAAAGGAUCAAGACUCCAUACAUGCCAUAGUUUAAACAUUUUGAAAAGCNNNNNNNNNNNNNNNNNNNNNNNNNNNNNNNNNNNNNNNNNNNNNNNNNNNNNNNNNNNNNNNNNNNNNNNNNNNNNNNNNNNNNNNNNNNNNNNNNNNNNNNNNNNNNNNNNNNNNNNNNNNNNNNNNNNNNNNNNNNNNNNNNNNNNNNNNNNNNNNNNNNNNNNNNNNNNNNNNNNNNNNNNNNNNNNNNNNNNNNNNNNNNNNNNNNNNNNNNNNNNNNNNNNNNNNNNNNNNNNNNNNNNNNNNNNNNNNNNNNNNNNNNNNNNNNNNNNNNNNNNNNNNNNNNNNNNNNNNNNNNNNNNNNNNNNNNNNNNNNNNNNNNNNNNNNNNNNNNNNNNNNNNNNNNNNNNNNNNNNNNNNNNNNNNNNNNNNNNNNNNNNNNNNNNNNNNNNNNNNNNNNNNNNNNNNNNNNNNNNNNNNNNNNNNNNNNNNNNNNNNNNNNNNNNNNNNNNNNNNNNNNNNNNNNNNNNNNNNNNNNNNNNNNNNNNNNNNNNNNNNNNNNNNNNNNNNNNNNNNNNNNNNNNNNNNNNNNNNNNNNNNNNNNNNNNNNNNNNNNNNNNNNNNNNNNNNNNNNNNNNNNNNNNNNNNNNNNNNNNNNNNNNNNNNNNNNNNNNNNNNNNNNNNNNNNNNNNNNNNNNNNNNNNNNNNNNNNNNNNNNNNNNNNNNNNNNNNNNNNNNNNNNNNNNNNNNNNNNNNNNNNNNNNNNNNNNNNNNNNNNNNNNNNNNNNNNNNNNNNNNNNNNNNNNNNNNNNNNNNNNNNNNNNNNNNNNAUCUAGUAAACUUGUAAUUAACACUUCAAACAUUCAUUAUCUAACAUCACUAAUCAAUUUACAAUUAUAUCAUGAAUGGGUCAAUUUUUAAACUUUAAUUUCAUUUAAAUUAAAUGGUAGAAACAUGAAAUUCAAGCUUCAAUAAGCAUAAAAAUACGAAAAUAAUCAAAAACGGGGCAAGAAAUCACUUACAAUUGAGCUUAGGAAGUUCAAGAACCCUAGCUAUGGUGACAUGAAUUUUUUUGGCAGCAAACGUCUGAUUUUAAGAAGAUGAACACUUGUUUUCAUCUUUAUUUUGUCUUUUAUUCAAUUUGGACAAAAAUGCCCUUGACCCAUUACUUAGAUAUUUUUCUAGAAAUACCCUUUUGUGUCCAUAACACUAAUUCAUGGUCUAAUUGCCACAUAAACACUUCCAAUUUCAUGCAAUAAUUCAAUUAAGUCAUUUAAUCACUAAUUAGACACACUUUGCAUUUUUCUCAAUUUAGUCCUAAAAAUUCAAUUAAGCACUAAAGCAUUAAAAUUUUCUAUCCAUAUUUUCACACAAUAUUUCAAUCAAUCAGUAACUAAUAAAAAUUUAUAAAAUUAAACUAUUUCACUUCGGAUUUGUGGUUACGAAACCACUAUUCCGAUUAGGCCCUAUUUCGGGCUAUCACACCUAUCGUGCCGCACCAUGCAAGGCUGGGGCUAUUGUCGAGGCUAUUGUCAUCCGCACCUAUCGACGUGCUGCCAAAGUUUGCCGAGGCUAUUGUCGUUCGCACAAUCAAAUUUAUACAAAAAUCUAGGAUGUGGCAAAAAACCUAAUUUAAGCUACUAACACUCAUAUAACUAGAACCUUAGGGGUUUGAUGUAACUAAGUCGUCUUAAACACCUUCAAAACCCUCGUAGAUUAAGGGUAGGAUUAAACUUAGUUUUCUUUCAGCUUUUCAUAAACUCUUUGUUCUUUCCUUUUGGAAUCGAUUUUGAUCCAAUAGUCGUUUUAUAAUAUUGAAUUAUUUCAGUUAUUUGCUUUUGCGAGCGACGAUACUCGUUAUUCCAAUCAACAGAUUUACUACUCCAUUCUCCAAUCGACAUCAACUCCAGGAUUAUUCUAAUCUCUUUUCUCUAUCGACUCAAUUGUGUUAUUUAAAUGAGUGGCUAAAUCUCUUAAGAGAGAUUAACGAGUGGAUGUGGAUGUGAUUAAUGGAGGAUUUAGGGUUUCUCGAGAGGAUUAGUUGGUAGAGAUUACGCGUUCCUAAACCCCAGGCUUGACAACCCUAGGAAGUAAUCAUAGGUUAGAUGAGAUCAAAAGAUAAGUCUAAAAAAGAAAACCGUAGUUUAUCCUGGUUGAGAAAGUGAGGUUGGGAGAUAAGCGAGUAUCAACCAAUCGAUUUAUCAGUUAGAGGUCAGGAGGUAUAAUUGGUUAAUUGGUGACUAAUCAUCCCUAAAACCCUAAUCUGAAGUUAAUUACAAACCCUAAAACGAGUUAAUCUUCCUGAUUGCUUUUAUCGAAUUAGUGUUUGUUUAUUUUCUCGUUUAUUUAUUUUAACUAUUUAAUUUCUCUUAUUACUCCCUUUUAUGAUUUGUCGUAAUAUAAAAUUUAACUAUUACUAUUUAGACUUAUUAUUGUAAAAAAAAAAUUAUAUAUUUAUUUCAUCCUCCUUUGGGGUACGAUCCUCUGAAUACUUGUUGUGUUCCGUUGUAAAUACAUAUACUAUAUCACAAUUUGACCUGUAUACCUGUGGGCACCGCCGUUCUAAUUCUAUAAGUUUUGGUGUGCUAUUUUUACUAUAAACGAUAACACAUUUAUAAACAAUCAUUUGUACAUACCAUAUCUUUGUAUUCUUUUUAUUCAUGAUUCCUAUUAAUAAUAGUAUUUUUUUUCAAGUUAAUCUGAAAACUUCAACUAUUCAAACUAAACUUAAAAAGAAUAUAAUUAACUCAUUAAAAAUAAUAAUUAAAUUAAAAUUUUUUAAAUAAAAAUUUAAUAAUUUAUACUAAUUUUAUGGUUUUUUAAAAAGCAUAAAUUAUUAGUUGUUAGGAUCGUCCCGAUUAAGCAACAAACAAGUAAAAAUAGCAGAAGAAAUUGAGAAGAUGAACACACAAAUUUAACGUGGAAAAACCCCUCCAAAGAGGAUAAAAAACCACGGGCAAAGAUAAUUUUACUAUAAUGGCAAAAGAAUGAAGAGUACAAAAGAUGGAGAUAAAACUAAACCCUGAAAACCCGAAAAACAAAGAUCCCUCAAAACGUAAACACAAAAUUCUCUGAAUGUGUUAUGAGUUCUAAUCUAAUGGGUAUUAUUUCUAAGAUUGUAAAAGAGCCUAUUUAUAGGCUAAAUUAGUAAGUCAAAUAAACUACACUAAUAAAUGUCAAAUAUAUUAUACUAAUAAAUACUAAAUCUUCUAGAAAGAAAAUAUAUUUUUGUUUAACUUGACUUGCAAGCAAUCUCUUAGAAUUUGGGUCACACAACUCUAACAAUCUCCACCUCGACACGAAUUCUUUCAACACCAUCUUUGCCAAAACCCGCCACAGACCUAUCUUGAACCAUGCAGGGAAUUAAUUGAGUCGAAUCUAUGCUUAGAAGCUGGAAGACUUCUAGCCUUCGACUUAUGCACUGCCAAAUCAAAACUAACCCGGGUUUGAUUUUCACGAAUACAGUGCCCUAACUUUUCAAAACGUGCAUCCAAAAGAGAACCUCUCUUCAACGAAAUGGUCAUACCUUUUUCCCUCCUAUGACCAAGUUGCCUCCGCUCCAAACGAGUUGGCUUUGACUCCAUAACAGACGAGGGACGUCCAAUUUCACCGGUCACUGUAGAACCUUCCAGAAUAUAAAGACUGCCAGUUCUUUUACCUUUUAACAAAACGAGAGCUCCACGAGAUACUUUAAUGUCACUCGACUCGAUGUUGAUUCUGCAUCCUUUCAAGUCUAAAAUACUCAAGGACAUGAGAUUCUUUCGUAAAUCAGGUACAUACCUGACAUCUGAGAGUGUCCUAAUCGUCCCAUCAUGUAUCCUAACUUUAACAGUACCAAUACCUAUUAUCUUACUAGAUGAAACGUUUCCCAUAUGCACAACUCCACCUUCAACUGAACUGUAUGUGGAGAACCAUUCUUUAUUGGGACACAUGUGGAACGAAAAUUCUGAAUCUAGGAUCCACUCAGACUUAAGCUUGGAGUUGUCGCUCGUUGACACUAACAAGAAAUCAUCACCACCUUCAUCGACCAAAUUAGCACCAACUACAUCUUCCUCGUUACUCUCAGCAGCUCUUUUAUUUCGCAGUUUAAAAUAAUCUGCUUUGACGUGACCUAACCUUUUACAGUAGCGACACCUUUUGUCUCGUUUCUUUGAUGCUACCAAAACGGAAGCUUGCCUAUCUGCUUUGCUAUUCAAACCAAACUCAUUGUCGAGUUUGUCUCUACUCAAUAAAUGACCCUUCACAUCUUCGAACGAGAGUUUGUCUCUGCCAUAAAUCAAGGUCUCCCUGAAAGACUUGUAUGAAGAGGGUAAAGAGCACAAUAAUAGCAUAGCUUGAUCUUCAUCAUCAAUAUGAACCUCAACGUUCUUUAAAUCAUUUAAAAGAGUAAUGAAUUGACUGAUGUGAUCUUUAAGAAGCUCACAUUUGUUCAUGCGAAACGUAAAUAGACGUUGUUUUAACACUAAACGGUUAGCCAGAGACUUAGUCGCAUAAAGAGUUUCAAACCUUUUCCAUAAGGCGAAUGAGGUCUUCUCCAUCAAUACCUCCUACAAUACUGUAUUCGCGAGGCACAAUUGGAUUGCAGACAAGGCCUUUUCAUCAAGCUCUUCCCAUUCUGUUUGAUUUAGAUUCUCAGGCUUUUUCCCUGUAACAACCUUUUUCAAGCCGUUUUGAACUAGAAUUGCCAUCAUCCGAACUUGCCACAAAUUGAAAUUUGUCUCACUAUCGAACUUCUCAAUUUCAAACCUCGUUGCUGCCAUCUCUGAACGGGCUGAUCUAUGAAAAUUGAACUAGCUCUGAUACCACUUGUUAGGAUCGUCUCGAUUAAGCAACAAACAAGUAAAAAUAGCAUAAGAAAUUAAGAAGAUGAACACACAAAUUUAACGUGGAAAAACCCCUCCAAAGAGGAUAAAAACCACGGGCAAAGAUAAUUUUACUAUAAUGGCAAAAGAAUGAAGAGUACAAAAGAUGGAGAUAAAACUAAACCCCGAAAACCCGAAAAACAAAGAUCCCUCAAAAUGUAAACACAAAAUUCUCUGAAUGUGUUAUGAGUUCUAAUCUAAUGGGUAUUAUUUCUAAGAUUGUAAAAGAGCCUACUUAUAGGCUAAAUUAGUAAGUCAAAUAAACUACACUAAUAAAUGUCAAAUAUAUUAUACUAAUAAAUACUAAAUCUUUUAGAAAGAAAAUAUAUUUUGUUUAACUUGACUUGCAAGCAAUCUCUUAGAAUUUGGGUCACACAACUCUAACAUUAGUAAAAUAAUUCUGUUCUUAUACAAAAAAUUCACUACCAUCUCUUCAUAGGUUUUAGUUGUAUAAAUUUACAAAAACAAAUCUAAUUUCUCACCCCCAUCUGCAUGCGAAAAAACCCUACAUUACACGUACUCGCCAUGCAAAGGCCUAAAUCCAUUAUAAACACCCUUUCAUCCGCCGCCAAUCAAUUCAGUUAUAUUUAUCAAUCAACCAUGGCAAAGCUCGCUCUCCUCGUAGCCACUUUCGCUCUCGCUUUCUUCCUCGUCAACGCCUCCAUCUACCGCACCACAAUCACCCUUGACAGCUACGAAGAAAACCGGUUCGACGCGGUGAGUCGUCGUGUUAAUACCAGAUAAGGAAGCUACACUACCUCGAACGGUGUCAGUGGUACAUGCAACAAGAGACCGGCGGCAUUAGCACAUACAACACCCAACUCCUCAACUCGUGCUGCGACCAGCUCCAGAACCUGGACGAGGGUAGCCGGAGCACAGGCUUGAAACAGGCGGUGAGGGAACAGCUGCAGGAAGGACAGUGGGAGAGUGAAGAGGCUAAAGAUAUGUUUGAAGUUGCGGAGAGGGAACUGAGGAAGUGUGAUUUAGAGCCUAGGAGAUGCGAUAUGCAAUCUCGAAGAUGGUUUUAGAUAUAAAAUCUAAGACCCUAAAAUGCUAAACGGAAAAUAAG